rnacentral:rRNA from 1 species
GACGAACGCUGGCGGCGUGCCUAAUACAUGCAAGUAGAACGCACAGUUUAUACCGUAGCUUGCUACACCAUAGACUGUGAGUUGCGAACGGGUGAGUAACGCGUAGGUAACCUGCCUGGUAGCGGGGGAUAACUAUUGGAAACGAUAGCUAAUACCGCAUAAUAUUAAUUAUUGCAUGAUAAUUGAUUAAAAGGUGCAAUUGCACCACUACCAGAUGGACCUGCGUUGUAUUAGCUAGUAGGUGAGGUAACGGCUCACCUAGGCGACGAUACAUAGCCGACCUGAGAGGGUGAUCGGCCACACUGGGACUGAGACACGGCCCAGACUCCUACGGGAGGCAGCAGUAGGGAAUCUUCGGCAAUGGACGAAAGUCUGACCGAGCAACGCCGCGUGAGUGAAGAAGGUUUUCGGAUCGUAAAGCUCUGUUGUAAGAGAAGAACGGGUGUGAGAGUGGAAAGUUCACACUGUGACGGUAUCUACCA